rnacentral:rRNA from 1 species
GCGCUUCUUGGAUAGGCCAGGAAGCAUGCCUCUUUGAGUAUCGUUUUCACCCCAGCUCGACUGCUCUUUUGUGUAACAACGAGAGAUGUCAUGUCGGAGAAUGAGUUUUGUCUUGUCUGAAAUAGAUAAGUCACUUUAAAUGCUGUGAGUGUUUUUAUUAAUCGCUACCGAUGUUGGUUAGUUGCAAUAUGCUAAUCAUUUAGUAGUAAUAUGGAUAAUCUUUAUUUAUGUUACAACGCUAGAUGUUAUUGGUCUGUGACUAAUGUUAUCUGCAUUGGGCUUGUUUAAUAGCUUUAUACACUCAGUGGAAAUUAAUCUAAUACUUUAAUGUAUAAUUUUUGAAUUAGAUCUCAAAUGAAGCAAGACUACCCGCUGAACUUAAGCAUAUUAUUAAGCGGAGGAAAAGAAACUAACAAGGAUGCCCUCAGUAACGGCGAGUGAAGCGGGCGAAGCUCAACCUGAAAAUCGGAUAUCCAAGCGGGUGUUCGAAUUGUGGGCUAGAGACGCGUGAUCAGUGUGUGACCUAGGUAUAAAUCUUUUGAAACAAGGUAUCACAGAGGGUGAGAAUCCCGUCUUUGACCUAGAGUUUUCGCCACGUACGAUCCGUGUUCACAGAGUCGAGUUGUUUGGGAUUGCAGC